rnacentral:rRNA from 1 species
GAUGAACGCUGGCGGCGUGCCUAAUACAUGCAAGUCGAGCGAACGGACGAGAAGCUUGCUUCUCUGAUGUUAGCGGCGGACGGGGUGAGUAACACGUGGAUAACCUACCUAUAAGACUGGGAUAACUUCGGGAAACCGUAGCUAAUACCGGAUAAUAUUUUGAACCGCAUGGUUCAAAAGUGAAAGACGGUCUUGCUGUCACUUAUAGAUGGAUCCGCGCUGCAUUAGCUAGUUGGUAAGGUAACGGCUUACCAAGGCAAUGAUGCAUAGCCGAGUUGAGAGACUGAUCGGCCACAUUGGGACUGAGACACGGCCCAAACUCCUACGGGAGGCAGCAGUAGGGAAUCUUCCACAAUGGACGCAAGUCUGAUGGAGCAACGCCGCGUGAGUGAAGAAGGGUUUCGGCUCGUAAAGCUCUGUUGGUAGUGAAGAAAGAUAGAGGUAGUAACUGGCCUUUAUUUGACGGUAAUUACUUAGAAAGUCACGGCUAACUACGUGCCAGCAGCCGCGGUAAUACGUAGGUGGCAAGCGUUGUCCGGAUUUAUUGGGCGUAAAGCGAGUGCAGGCGGUUCAAUAAGUCUGAUGUGAAAGCCUUCGGCUCAACCGGAGAAUUGCAUCAGAAACUGUUGAACUUGAGUGCAGAAGAGGAGAGUGGAACUCCAUGUGUAGCGGUGGAAUGCGUAGAUAUAUGGAAGAACACCAGUGGCGAAGGCGGCUCUCUGGUCUGCAACUGACGCUGAGGCUCGAAAGCAUGGGUAGCGAACAGG